AUACGUAGGGGGCGAGCGUUGUCCGGAAUGAUUGGGCGUAAAGGGCGCGUAGGCGGCGCGGUAAGUCUGGAGUGAAAGUCCUGCUUUCAAGGUGGGAAUUGCUUUGGAUACUGCCGCGCUUGAGUGCAGGAGAGGUUAUCGGAAUUCCCGGUGUAGCGGUGAAAUGCGUAGAGAUCGGGAGGAACACCAGUGGCGAAGGCGGGUAACUGGACUGCAACUGACGCUGAGGCGCGAAAGUGUGGGGAGCAAACAGGAUUAGAUACCCUGGCAGUCCACACUGUAAACGAUGAAUGCUAGGUGUAAGAGGUAUCGACCCCUUUUGUGCCGGAGUCAACACAAUAAGCAUUCCGCCUGGGGAGUACGGCCGCAAGGUUGAAACUCAAAUGAAUUGACGGGG
rnacentral:rRNA from 1 species